CAGUAGCCGCGGUAAUACGAAGGGGGCUAGCGUUGUUCGGAAUUACUGGGCGUAAAGCGCACGUAGGCGGAUAUUUAAGUCAGGGGUGAAAUCCCAGAGCUCAACUCUGGAACUGCCUUUGAUACUGGGUAUCUUGGGUAUGGAAGAGGUGAGUGGAAUUCCGAGUGUAGAGGUGAAAUUCGUAGAUAUUCGGAGGAACACCAGUGGCGAAGGCGGCUCACUGGUCCAUUACUGACGCUGAGGUGCGAAAGCGUGGGGAGCAAACAGGAUUAGAGACCCCGGUAGUCCCUGUCUCUUAUAC
rnacentral:rRNA from 1 species